AACAUAUUAUAAGGGAAUUUUAUGAGCAUCUCCUUAAACCUCUCCCAAGCUUCAUAUAGUGAUUCUCCUUCUUGCUGUCUGAAUGUUUGAACAUUGGUUCUGAGCUU